UCAGGAUGGGGGCGCCUGUGUGGUUCAGUCGGUUGACCAUCUGACUCUUGAAUUCAGCUCAGCUCAUCAUCUCAUGCUUUGUGGGAAUGAGCCCCGCAUCUGGCUCUGCACUGGCAGCACGAAGCCUGCUUGGGAUUCUCUUUCUGCCCCUCUACCCACCCCUGCUCCUCCUAUGCACACACACUCUCUUUCUCUCAAAAUAAGUUUCCCUCCCAGCAUGGAGCCCAGUGUAGGACUUAAAUUCAUGACCCUGAGAUCAAGACCUGAGAUGCGAUCAAGAGUUGGGCCUUCACUGACUGAGCCACCAAGGAGUGUCAAAUACCAAUCAUUUAAAGGAUUAUUUUCACAUUUCUCUUUUUCUUACGUUCUUACAUUUCUGUGCGUUUAUUCAGAAAAUAACCAAUCUGAGGAAACCAGUUCUGGGAAAGGGGACAUGAUUCUUUCAAAGAUACUGUUUCAUCAGACUUGGCAAGAUUUCUCUGCCCAGAAUUUCCUGCAUACCUUCCUCAUAAGAUGGAGGUCAGUGAGAUGCCCGUGCUGUGAAAGCCUUUGGGAAUGCAUACAACUUACUCAGCGGAAGGCUGCUGUGUUCAGUCAGAAACCAGAAGACCCAGGUUCCAGACGUGAAUCAAAGCACAAGCAAGCUACUUAAAUGUGGAAGCUCAGCGUCUCCUCAUCUGUACACCACGUUAUCUCCCAGCAGAUGCCGCUACAAGGAGUGCUGAGCUUGACCUGUGCAGCAACCAGUACUAACUGGCCAAGUCAGUCAGCCAGUAACACCACUGUUCCCAGACAACGGGCCAUGGAGACACAUCCACAUCCAAACUGGGUGCUACUUGUGAAUUUCUCCUCUUUAAGAUCUUUAUAAAGCUCAUUGUACUGUGCUUUCCCAUAUAAAAAUGACUGGAAAAGAGACAGCUACUGUGGUAGAUAGUAUGGAGGUUCCUCAAAAAAUUAUAAAUAGAAUUACCAUAUGAUCCAACAAUUCCACCACUGGGUAUUUACCCAAACAAAAUGAAAACGCUAAUUUGAAAAGAUGUGCACUUCUACGUUUAUCACAGCAUUCUUUACAAUAGCCAAGAUACAGAAGGAACCCAAGUGUCCACUGAUAGACGAAUGGAUAAAGAAGAUGCGGUCUACGUACACAGGGGAAUAUUACUGUGCCAUAAAAAGAACGAGACCUUGCCAUUUGCAAUAACAUGGAUGGACCCAGAAGGUAUUGUGCUCAAUGAAACAAGUCAGACUGAGAAACACAAAACCAUGAUUUCACUCCCAUGCAGAAUCUAAAAAAACAAAAACAAAUGAAUAAACAGACAAAAAGCAGAAUCAGACCUAUUAAAUACAGAGAAUAAUCUGGUGGUUGUCAAAGGGGAGGACGGUGGGAGGCGGUGCAAAACGGGUGAAGGGGAGUGAGACACACAGGCUUCCAGUUACGGAACGAAGAAGUCAAAGGAAUAAAAGGUACAACACAGGGAACAUCAUCAGUGGUACUGUAACAGUAUUGUAUGGUGACGCAUGGUAGCUAGACUUGCGGCGAGCAUAGCAUAAUGUACAGAAUUGUUGAAUCAGUAUGUUGUACACCUGAAACUAAUGUAACAUUUUUGUCAAGUAUACUCAAAAAAAAAAAAAAAAUCAGGUACUUACUUGUAGGAUUUUUUUUUUUUCUUUUAAAGAUCAGGGAUGAAAAGUAGAAAGAGAAGUUUGCAUUUAAAAAUGCAAAAUAUAAGGGGCUCCUGGGUGGCUCAGUUGGUUAAGCAUCCGACUCUUGGUUUCAGCCCGGGUCAUGAUUUGGCAGUUUCGUGGGUUCAAGCCCUGCACUGGGCUCUGCGCAGGCAGCACGGAGCCUGCUUGGGGUUCUCUCUCUCCCUUUCUCUCUCCCUCUGCCCCUCCCCCGCUUGCUCUCUCUCUCUCUCUCUCUCUCUCUCUCUCAAAAAAUAAAUAAACUUAAAAUAAUUUUUUUUAAAAAACAAAAAUGCAAAGUAUAAAAUAAAAUUUUAUUUGGAGAAAGAUCCAAUUCCUUAAAAAAAAAAAAAAAAAAAAGAAGAGACAGGAAGAACAGAGUGUGUAGUAGGAAUGACCUAAGGCAAUAUCCCAAAUUUCCCUCAUGAAGAACAGGGGGUAAAGAUGUAGGGGGGGAAAAGGCUUGUAAAGAGAGAAAGGCAAAUUCAAUUGAAGGCAUCCUCCUCCCCCUCUCAGUCCUCCCCCUCCUCUCUACCUUCACCUCCUCCUCCCCCUCCCCCCCCCCUCCUCCUCCUCCUCCUAUGUCUUCAGGCAACUCAGUCAAAACACCUGAUGCUGCCUGUUUACAAGCAGGUCUCUCAGGUCCAGGGACAUAAAGCCUCAGAGUAGAAGUCAGUACUAAAAUCGUAUUUCAGGAAAAAUAAACACCCAAAAGUGUAUUUAUUUAUCUUUAUUUUCUGAAGUUUCUAUAGUGUACAUCCAUUAGUACCGUAAGAAAGAGUUUCUGAAAAUCUUUAAACUUUGGGCGUAAGACACGAAGUGGUAAAAAAUAUAUCAUAAAUACUUCAAAAACGUACACGUGCGAGUUAAAGUACACCAUGUGUUAGAAAAUACAAAAAGGAAGAGAAUAAAUUGCUAUAGAUGAAUUACCAAGAAACAAGACUUCUUAAAAUAUCUAGAUUUACAGCACAAAUUCCUGGUAAAGUCUCUAUAAUAAUUGCUGGUUUUUAAACAAAAAAGGGUGUGCAAAUAUGCCAAAACUGACUCUGUUUCAGAGCAUUUUUGUAGUUUUGUCAGUCUGUUAGAUAUAUAUAGCUACCUACUGAACACAUGGAAAUAAGUUUGUUUUUAUAAGAAUUUAGAUGUUAUAAUUUCUACUACUAGGCACCUAAAAAUAGAGUUACACAAUAUAAAAAAAAUUUUGCUUUGCAAUUUGUCUAGUAGGAGAGGUAUACGCAUGCAAAAAAAUGUAAAUGCAAAAACAGUCCUUGUAACACUUGUAAAAUGUAAGAGGCAGGCGUCUCUUACGCCCCUUUCUAAAUGUGAAAACAUACCCGGCUCUUUGGCUGUGGUUCCUCUUUCUUUUGGAUCUUCAGAAACUAUUAAUGGCGUAAAGCAUUUCCUUCCCAGAGGCUUUUCUACAGCUGCUAUCUAAAAAGUUAAAAAACAAAAUAAAACAGAAAAAACUUUUGGGGAAACUGCUGCAUUAAAUUAGAAAUCUGAAAAUAAUUUGAGAAGCGUUUAUUUCCUAAAACAGUCCAUACAACAGACAUAGGACACUUAACAUUUUUUCCAUCGAUAUUUUCAAGGAAACUGUCUCUUACCUUAUGUUUGGACAAAACAGGACUGUAGAAGAAAAGAGAAAAAAAAAAAGAUUUUUGAAAAAUUACAGCAGCAAUACGCUUCCAAACAAAUGUCACUGAAAUGGCUGUAAAAAUAAAAUAUAGCUUCUCCGGAUUCUAAAAUUAGUGCAGAACAUUUCCACUGCUGACACAUUACCACUGGUUCACACCGUUCAAAGGGCAGCUAUAUAAUGUGGUAGCUCCUUAGAUAACCAAAUAUUAUUGAAAACCCCCAAAGAAGCUGAGAUCCAGGGGAAAAAAUGUCAACAUUUUGCUAAUAAUAUAAAGAGUAUUUCACACACACACUUUUCAAAUUUUAGUUUAUGUCAUUAUGGUCUGAAAUAGGUUAUGAUGAAAGAUAAUUUGGCAUUAUCCAUGGAAACAGGUAACAAAAAAAGUUAAUUUUGAAACAUUAUCUUUUAGGGAAUACCAGAGAUAACACAAAGGAUAUGUCCAUGGAAAAGGUAUGCACUAAAAGAUAGCCAUUUUAUUCAAAUACUCAAAACUCAGAAACAAUCUGAAUGUCUAUUAACAAUAUAAUGGAUAGAUGAAUUGCUACACAUACAGCAAAUCCACACAGGAAUAAAACUGAGCAAAUUACCAUUAAUAUGCAUCAACAUGUAACUCAGACAUAACAUAAUGAUGGGCAAAGGCAGUUAAUACAAAAAUCUACAUUCUGUAUGAUUACAUUUAUCAGAAUCACAGAACAGGCAAAUAUACUGUUAUAGAACUUAGACACUGGUUAUUUUAGGGGGUGGGUACUGACUUGGUACCUGUAUGAGGGAGCACCGUGAGGGGCUGGGCUAUUUUGUAUCUUGGUCAGAGUGUAGCUCCAGGGACAUAUAUGUGUAUGUAAAAACUCACAGAGCUUAUGCACUUCAUUCUUUAUGGAAUUAAAAAUUAUUUAUAUUAAGAAAUUUAGGAGUAAAAAUUUGGGGGGAUUAUUUACAGUUAUAGCAUAAACACAUCAUGCCCAUAUUAUAUUAAAUAAAUAUUUGUUUUAAAAUAAUCAAAACAUCUGGGGUGUCUGGGUGGCUCAGUCGGUUAAGCAUCUGACUUCAGCUUGGGUCAUGAUUUCAUGGUUCGUGGGUUUGAGUCCUGCAUCAGGUUCUCUGCUGUCAGUGCAGAGCCUGCUUCAGAUCCUCUGUCUCCCUCCAUCCCUCCCUCACUCUCUCUCUCUCUCUCAAAAA